rnacentral:tRNA from 1 species
GCGGCUAUAGCUUAGUGGUAAAGCCCCAGUCUGUGGAUCUGGUUACGAGGGUUCGAUUCCCUCUAGUCGCC